UACGAAGGGUGCAAGCGUUACUCGGAAUUACUGGGCGUAAAGCGUGCGUAGGUGGUUCGUUAAGUCUGAUGUGAAAGCCCUGGGCUCAACCUGGGAAUGGCAUUGGAUACUGGCGACCUAGAGUGCGGUAGAGGGUGGCGGAAUUCCCGGUGUAGCAGUGAAAUGCGUAGAGAUCGGGAGGAACAUCUGUGGCGAAGGCGACUGCCUGGACCAGCACUGACACUGAGGCACGAAAGCGUGGGGAGCAAACAGG
rnacentral:rRNA from 1 species